GCUUCAGAAGCCCGUGCAUACCCUUCGGCUUCCGCUGAUGGGUUUGACACAGAUGAUUUCUAAGAAAGUCAGCCACUACCUCGCCACAACCGUCCGGCCCGUGCUCCCAUGCAGUCUAGUAACCCUCCCACCACUUCCCGCCGGUACCAGGGACCAGAUCAGGCCCAUUUAGAUUUACUGCAAUAGGUAACCGGCAAGCCUGUGUCAGCAACCCCUGCCAUGGCAGUGUCUGCGGGGGAGGG